rnacentral:rRNA from 1 species
UACGUAGGGGGCUAGCGUUGCCCGGAAUCAUUGGGCGUAAAGAGCGUGUAGGCGGCCCGGUAAGUCCGCUGUAAAAGUCAAAGGCUCAACCUUUGAAUGUCAGUGGAUACUGCCGGGCUAGAGUCCGGAAGAGGCGAGUGGAACUCCUGGUGUAGCGGUGGAAUGCGCAGAUAUCAGGAAGAACACCCGUGGCGAAGGCGGCUCUCUGGGACGGUACUGACGCUGAGACGCGAAAGCGUGGGGAGCGAACAGG